rnacentral:rRNA from 1 species
CCUACGGGGGGCAGCAGUGAGGAAUAUUGGUCAAUGGACGAGAGUCUGAACCAGCCAAGUAGCGUGAAGGAUGACUGCCCUAUGGGUUGUAAACUUCUUUUAUAAAGGAAUAAAACGAGGCACGUGUGCCUUUUUGCAUGUACUUUAUGAAUAAGGAUCGGCUAACUCCGUGCCAGCAGCCGCGGUAAUACGGAGGAUGCGAGCGUUAUCCGGAUUUAUUGGGUUUAAGGGGUGCGUAGGCGGAUUUUUAAGUCAGCGGUAAAAUGUCCGGGCUCAACCCGGGCCGGCCGUUGAAACUGGGGAUCUUGAGUGGGCGAGAAGUAUGCGGAAUGCGUGGUGUAGCGGUGAAAUGCAUAGAUAUCACGCAGAACUCCGAUUGCGAAGGCAGCAUACCGGCGCCCGACUGACGCUGAGGCACGAAAGCGUGGGGAUCGAACAGGAUUAGAUACCCGAGUAGUC